rnacentral:rRNA from 1 species
CCCUUAGAUGUUCUGGGCCGCACGCGUGCUACACUGAGUGGAUCAGCGGGUCAGGUUGCGCGAAAGUGUUUCCUAAUCUUGAAAUCCGCUCGUGAUGGGGAUUGACGGUUGCAAUUUUCCGUCAUGAACGAGGAAUACCUUGUAAGCGCAGGUCAUCAUCCCGCGCUGAAUACGUCCCUGCCCUUUGUACACACCGCCCGUCGCUCCUACCGAUUGAGUGGUCCGGUGAGGCUUUGGGAUCUGAGCAAAGAGAGCGUUUCGCUCGUUUUGCCCGGAAAACUCAGUCGAACCUUAUCAUUUAGAGGAAGGAGAAGUCGUAACA